GCCAUGGCAGUUGAAGUGGUGUCAUAGCACUAUGGACUAUGACUCUGGAGACCAGGGUUCAAAUCCCAGCUCUGCCA